AUUGAACGCUGGCGGCAUGCUUUACACAUGCAAGUCGAACGGUAACAGGCCGCAAGGUGCUGACGAGUGGCGAACGGGUGAGUAAUGCAUCGGAACGUGCCCAGUCGUGGGGGAUAACUGCUCGAAAGAGCAGCUAAUACCGCAUACGAUCUAUGGAUGAAAGCGGGGGACCGGAAGGCCUCGCGCGCUUGGAGCGGCCGAUGUCAGAUUAGGUAGUUGGUGGGGUAAAGGCUCACCAAGCCAACGAUCUGUAGCUGGUCUGAGAGGACGACCAGCCACACUGGGACUGAGACACGGCCCAGACUCCUACGGGAGGCAGCAGUGGGGAAUUUUGGACAAUGGGGGCAACCCUGAUCCAGCAAUGCCGCGUGCAGGAAGAAGGCCUUCGGGUUGUAAACUGCUUUUGUACGGAACGAAACGGUCUGGGUUAAUACCCUGGGCUAAUAACGGUACCGUAAGAAUAAGCACCGGCUAACUACGUGCCAGCAGCCGCCGUAAAAC
rnacentral:rRNA from 1 species